rnacentral:rRNA from 1 species
AGAGUUUGAUCCUGGCUCAGGAUGAACGCUAGCGAUAGGCUUAACACAUGCAAGUCGAGGGGCAUCACGAAUUAGCAAUAGUUUGGUGGCGACCGGCGCACGGGUGCGUAACACGUAUACAACCUACCUUCAAUUGGGGGAUAACCUGGAGAAAUUCGGACUAAUACCCCAUAGUAAACAGAGGAGGCAUCUUUUUUGUUUUAAAGAUUUAUUGAUUGGAGAUGGGUAUGCGUAGGAUUAGCUAGUUGGUAAGGUAACGGCUUACCAAGGCGACGAUCCUUAGGGGUUCUGAGAGGAAGGUCCCCCACACUGGUACUGAGACACGGACCAGACUCCUACGGGAGGCAGCAGUGAGGAAUAUUGGUCAAUGGUCGAGAGACUGAACCAGCCAAGUCGCGUGAAGGAAGACGGCUCUAUGAGUUGUAAACUUCUUUUGUACAGGAGUAAAGUGAGACACGUGUGUUUUAUUGCAAGUACUGUACGAAUAAGCAUCGGCUAACUCCGUGCCAGCAGCCGCGGUAAUACGGAGGAUGCAAGCGUUAUCCGGAUUUAUUGGGUUUAAAGGGUGCGUAGGCGGUAUUACAAGUCAGGGGUGAAAUCUUGGUGCUUAACAUUAAAAUUGCCUUUGAAACUGUGGUACUUGAGUGUAAAAGAGGUAGGCGGAAUGUGUUGUGUAGCGGUGAAAUGCAUAGAUAUAACACAGAACCCCGAUUGCGAAGGCAGCUUACUAUCAUACAACUGACGCUGAUGCACGAAAGCGUGGGGAGCAAACAGGAUUAGAUACCCUGGUAGUCCACGCAGUAAACGAUGAUUACUAGCUGUUAGCGAUAUACUGUUAGUGGCUAAGCGAAAGCGAUAAGUAAUCCACCUGGGGAGUACGUUCGCAAGAAUGAAACUCAAAGGAAUUGACGGGGGCCCGCACAAGCGGAGGAACAUGUGGUUUAAUUCGAUGAUACGCGAGGAACCUUACCCGGGCUUGAACUGCGGCGGAACGAUUCCGAGAGGAUGAGGCCCUUCGGGGCUGCCGCGGAGGUGCUGCAUGGUUGUCGUCAGCUCGUGCCGUGAGGUGUCGGCUUAAGUGCCAUAACGAGCGCAACCCUUGCCAAUAGUUACCAGCAUUUAGAUGGGGACUCUAUUGGGACUGCCACCGUAAGGUGUGAGGAAGGUGGGGAUGACGUCAAAUCAGCACGGCCCUUACGUCCG